rnacentral:lncRNA from 1 species
ACCAAAUUUCAGCAAGUUUUUCUACACACUUCUAAAUACUCAUCAUUUAUCUCUAACACUUGUAAUCAAUCAAAUUCAUUGUAUUAUAACAUAUUCUAACCUCAAACAACAGUAGACAGGCCAUUUUGUGCUCCAACGCAAUGUUUCCGAGUUCUUAGCCCAUUUGGUACCAAAUUUCAACAAGUGUUUCUACACACUUCUAAACACUCUUCAUGCAUCUCUAGCACUUGUAAUCAAUCAAAUUAAUUGUAUUCUCACAUAUUCUAACCC